AUUAAAUAUGAUGAAUAAAUAUCGCCCCAGUCUGAAUUCAUGUGAAUGAUCGAUCUUUCUGAUAUAGU